UACGGAGGAUGCGAGCGUUAUCCGGAUUUAUUGGGUUUAAAGGGUGCGUAGGCGGAUCGUUAAGUCAGUGGUCAAAUUGAGGGGCUCAACCCCUUCCCGCCAUUGAAACUGGCGAUCUUGAGUGGAAGAGAAGUAUGCGGAAUGCGUGGUGUAGCGGUGAAAUGCAUAGAUAUCACGCAGAACCCCGAUUGCGAAGGCAGCAUGCCGGCUUCCUACUGUCGCUGAAGCACGAAAGCGUGGGGAUCGAACAGG
rnacentral:rRNA from 1 species